rnacentral:rRNA from 1 species
CGGACUGUAGGCUGCAACUCGCCUACACGAAGUUGGAAUUGCUAGUAAUCGUGGAUCAGCAUGCCACGGUGAAUACGUUCCCGGGUCUUGUACACACCGCCCGUCACACCAUGGGAGCUGGUAACACCCGAAGUCAGUAGUCUAACCGCAAGGAGGACGCUGCCGAAGGUGGGAUUAGCGACUGGGGUGAAGUCGUAACAAGGUAUC